UGCUGGUCUGUGCUGUGCUUCUCACAUGCUUUCCUCCCUUUACCUCCAUCCUAGAGGUCUUUUCCAACUUCCAUGAUUCCAUGGUUCCUGUGCCCUUGGAUGAGAUAUUCUCAACGUGGAUCAGAGCCUGCUGUCUGCUGGACAUGACCCUCCCAUGGCACAUACUCAGAAAUGCUGAAGGAAGGUAAUAGCAACAUCAGUGUCUUUUUCAUCAGUGGAUCUGGGAGUGCUCCAUGAAAGAUGCCAGGACAAAUAACAAAAAUCACUUUGAAGUCCCAGGGCACAUUUCACACAUUGCCUGCUGAGAGUCUGCAGCCACGCUCCCCCUGGCCCGGGACCAGCAGGAUUGUUCCAAGCUGCAGGGACUGGUGCACGGACAAAAGCCUCUGGCAUGGACACACGAGGGUUAUUGCAGUUUCAAAAGCCCAUAUGUGAGUUCUGUUGGCACAAUCUGGGCAGGAAAUUUCACAAACAUGCCAACUUCUCUUUGUAACUUCAUCUCUCCUGACAGUGUAUGCAUGACUCAUUCAGACAUAUCUGUACUCCAUACUUCUCUCAUUCCUUUUUAAUUUGUUUGAACUAUGUCUCACUCUACUUUCUUCCAGAGAAUGCCAUGUCAUCUCACCAAUACAUGGGGAAAAAAGUGACUUUUUUUAAAGAAUACAGGGGAAAAAAUAGUAUU